AAAACUUCGUGCUGCAUCUCUUUUGUCAGUGAACAAGUCUCGGUUUCAAAGCGACAAAAAUAUCGACAUUGAAAUGACAUUUAAAUGUUGCAGUGAACCAACCAUUUCUCUUUGUGUGUGUGUGUGUGUGUGUGUGUGUCUUUUAGUGUGUGUGUGUG